GGAUCUUGACACGUGGGGCGAUUCUGGCCGUUUGAUCUGCUUCUAGAUGCUUCCAGCUACUUAAGCCUCCAGUGACCUUCCCUCUGGCAGUUUUAGAGAGAUAUUUUCUUCGUUUUAAGUUGGUCUCUUUGUGCUCUCUCGCUUUGUGAAGAACUCCUUCAUCUUUGUGAUUAUGGUUCAAUUUUCUUGAGUGUUUCAGCAUAUAAACUAGUGAAAACCCUUUGUAAUAAUAUAGAUCUUUGUAGUGGUGUACUACUAUGUGUUGGUUUAGGAGAAUCUAAGUGAUUCUUGUGAGAGAAGUUCGGGUUUUCUGGAGAUCUUAUGGGGCUAAGUUGAUUCCAUCGUGGAUUCGUAGUUUCCUUCGUGGAUUUUGUUGAGAUAAGUCUUUGUGACCUUGUUCUUAUUUUUUUCUGGAAUUGUCUUGUAUUCUUGUUGUCGAUUUUUGACUAUUUUAGUGCAAUAGAGCUAAAUCCAUUUAUAAUGGAUGCUCAACAGGGGAUUAGACAUUAAAUGUGGUCAUCGAACCUCUGGAGCUAUGGCCGAAAAAUCCUUGUGUGUUGAUUUUUUAUAUUUCUGCACUUUACUGUUUAUGAAUGGUUUUGUGUAUCUUGGUUAAUUCUAGAAUGGUGCUCGACUUUUCACAACAAACUUUAGAAUCCACAUUAAAUUGCAGACCAUAAACAUUUUUUCUCAGGAAAAUAAAUAAAUUUGGUCUAUGAACUUUCAAAUUGGAACAAGUUAACCCCCU
rnacentral:lncRNA from 1 species